GACGAACGCUGGCGGCGUGCUUAACACAUGCAAGUCGAACGGAAAGGCCCUGCUUUUGUGGGGUGCUCGAGUGGCGAACGGGUGAGUAACACGUGAGUAACCUGCCCUUGACUUUGGGAUAACUUCAGGAAACUGGGGCUAAUACCGGAUAGGAGCUCCUGCUGCAUGGUGGGGGUUGGAAAGUUUCGGCGGUUGGGGAUGGACUCGCGGCUUAUCAGCUUGUUGGUGGGGUAGUGGCUUACCAAGGCUUUGACGGGUAGCCGGCCUGAGAGGGUGACCGGCAACAGUGGGACUGAGAUACGGCCCAGACUCCUACGGGAGGCAGCAGUGGGGAAUAUUGCACAAUGGGCGGAAGCCUAAUGCAGCAACGCCGCGGGCGGGAUAACGGCCUUCGGGUUGGAAACCGCUUUCGCCUGUGACGAAGCGUGAGUGACGGUAAUGGGUAAAGAAGCACCGGCUAACUACGUG
rnacentral:rRNA from 1 species